rnacentral:rRNA from 1 species
UACGUAGGGUGCGAGCGUUAAUCGGAAUUACUGGGCGUAAAGUGUGCGCAGGUGGCCGCGCAAGUCGAGUGUGAAAUCCCCGAGCUUAACUUGGGAAUUGCGCUCGAAACUACGUGGCUCGAGUGUGGCAGAGGAAGGUGGAAUUCCACGUGUAGCGGUGAAAUUCGUAGAGAUGUGGAGGAACACCGAUGGCGAAGGCAGCCUUCUGGGCCAACACUGACGCUCAUGCACGAAAGCGUGGGGAGCAAACAGG